rnacentral:rRNA from 1 species
ACUCCUACGGGAGGCAGCAGUGGGGAAUAUUGGACAAUGGGCGAAAGCCUGAUCGAGCAAUGCCGCGUGAGUGAUGAAGGCCUUAGGGUUGUAAAGCUCUUUUACCAGGGAUGAUAAUGACAGUACCUGGAGAAUAAGCUCCGGCUAACUCCGUGCCAGCAGCCGCGGUAAUAC